AACGAACGCUGGCGGCAUGCCUAACACAUGCAAGUCGAACGAACCCUUCGGGGUGAGUGGCGCACGGGUGCGUAACGCGUGGGAACCUGCCUUUAGGUUCGGAAUAACAGUUAGAAAUGACUGCUAAUACCGGAUAAUGUCUUCGGACCAAAGAUUUAUCGCCUUUAGAUGGGCCCGCGUUAGAUUAGGUAGUUGGUAGGGUAAUGGCCUACCAAGCCGACGAUCUAUAGCUGGUCUGAGAGGAUGAUCAGCCACACUGGGACUGAGACACGGCCCAGACUCCUACGGGAGGCAGCAGUGGGGAAUAUUGGACAAUGGGCGAAAGCCUGAUCCAGCAAUGCCGCGUGAGUGAUGAAGGCCUUAGGGUUGUAAAGCUCUUUUACUAGGGAUGAUAAUGACAGUACCUAGAGAAUAAGCUCCGGCUAACUCCGUGCCAGCAGCCGCGGUAAUACGGAGGGAGCUAGCGUUGUUCGGAAUUACUGGGCGUAAAGCGCGCGUAGGCGGCUUUUUAAGUCAGAGGUGAAAUCCCAGGGCUCAACCCUGGAACUGCCUUUGAAACUGGAAGGCUAGAAUAUUGGAGAGGUAAGUGGAAUUCCGAGUGUAGAGGUGAAAUUCGUAGAUAUUCGGAAGAACACCAGUGGCGAAGGCGACUUACUGGACAAUUAUGACGCUGAG
rnacentral:rRNA from 1 species